CUCUGGGACAAGCCCUGGAAACGGGGUCUAAUACCGGAUAUGACUGUCCAUCGCAUGGUGGAUGGUGUAAAGCUCCGGCGGUGCAGGAUGAGCCCGCGGCCUAUCAGCUUGUUGGUGAGGUAGUGGCUCACCAAGGCGACGACGGGUAGCCGGCCUGAGAGGGCGACCGGCCACACUGGGACUGAGACACGGCCCAGACUCCUACGGGAGGCAGCAGUGGGGAAUAUUGCACAAUGGGCGAAAGCCUGAUGCAGCGACGCCGCGUGAGGGAUGACGGCCUUCGGGUUGUAAACCUCUUUCAGCAGGGAAGAAGCGAAAGUGACGGUACCUGCAGAAGAAGCGCCGGCUAACUACGUGCCAGCAGCCGCGGUAAUACGUAGGGCGCAAGCGUUGUCCGGAAUUAUUGGGCGUAAAGAGCUCGUAGGCGGCUUGUCACGUCGGUUGUGAAAGCCCGGGGCUUAACCCCGGGUCUGCAGUCGAUACGGGCAGGCUAGAGUUCNGUAGGGGAGAUCGGAAUUCCUGGUGUAGCGGUGAAAUGCGCAGAUAUCAGGAGGAACACCGGUGGCGAAGGCGGAUCUCUGGGCCGAUACUGACGCUGAGGAGCGAAAGCGUGGGGAGCGAACAGGAUUAGAUACCCUGGUAGUCCACGCCGUAAAACGGUGGGCACUAGGUGUGGGCAACAUUCCCACGUUGUCCGGUGCCG
rnacentral:rRNA from 1 species